GAGCAUGAUGUAGUAGAUGAUAGUAUGAUGACAUCUUAUAUGGAUUUUCUUUGCUCGGAUGUUCAUCUUGACCAGAUAAGGACUACACCUAAUAUUAGAGUCAAUAUUGCAUCUACUGGAACACAACUCGGCACACCUUAUGGGGAUUCAGGUCACGAGGGACCCUCUACAUCACAUCGAGAAGAGAGUCUGACUACUGUGACACCAUCUAUGGU